rnacentral:rRNA from 1 species
GGAAAUUGUUAGUGGCAGACGGGUGAGUAAUGCGUAGGAAUCUACCUAGUAGUACGGAAUAGCCAUUAGAAAUGGUGGGUAAUACUGUAUAAUCCCCGAGGGGGAAAGAUUUAUCGCUAUUAGAUGAGCCUACGUUAGAUUAGCUAGUUGGUGAGGUAAUGGCUUACCAAGGCUAUGAUCUAUAGCUGGUCUGAGAGGACGAUCAGCCACACUGGAACUGAGAUACGGUCCAGACUCCUACGGGAGGCAGCAGUGGGGAAUAUUGGACAAUGGGCGAAAGCCUGAUCCAGCUAUGCCGC